rnacentral:miRNA from 1 species
UAUUGCAAAAACGUGUAGUAAUACAACAUGAUCUAGUCGACGUUUCAGUCCACGAAGGACUUUUAUCAAGGUCUUGAUAAAAGUCCUUCGUGGACUGAAACGUCGACUAGAUCAUGUUGUAUUACUACACGUUUUUGCAAU